GAGGUAUUAGUAAAAUUAUUACAUAACUUUGUCAAAGUUAAGUUAAAGGCUAAAAUCCUUUAUAUCUCU
rnacentral:tRNA from 1 species